rnacentral:misc_RNA from 1 species
AAGUCGUAACAAGGUUUCCGUAGGUGAACCUGCGGAAGGAUCAUUCAUAACGAGUGUUUAUGGCACUCUAAAAAUCCAUACCCACCUUGUGUGCAGCGUUAAGAGUCUUUUGUCUCUCUCUUUGAGGGCACGAGAUUUCUUUUAAUUAAUCUAUCUUAAACCAGUUUGUCUGAAGCAAUGUAUCAUGAAUAACAUAAUUCAAAAUACAACUUUCAACAACGGAUCUCUUGGUUCUG